rnacentral:rRNA from 1 species
UACGGAGGGAGCUAGCGUUGUUCGGAAUUACUGGGCGUAAAGCGCACGUAGGCGGCGAUUCAAGUCAGAGGUGAAAGCCCGGGGCUCAACCCCGGAACUGCCUUUGAAACUAGAUUGCUAGAAUCCUGGAGAGGUGAGUGGAAUUCCGAGUGUAGAGGUGAAAUUCGUAGAUAUUGGGUGGAACACCGGUGGCGAAGGCGGCCAUCUGGGCAACAACUGACGCUGAGGCGCGAAAGCGUGGGGAGCAAACAGG